UUUGCCUACGGGGGGCAGCAGUGGGGAAUAUUGCACAAUGGGGGGAACCCUGAUGCAGCGACGCCGCGUGAGUGAAGAAGGAUUUCGGUAUGGAAAGCUCUGUCAGCAGGGAAGAAGAAAGACGGUACCUGACCAAGAAGCCCCGGCUAACUACGUGCCAGCAGCCGCGGUAAUACGUAGGGGGCAAGCGUUAUCCGGAUUUACUGGGUGUAAAGGGAGCGUAGACGGCAGGGCAAGUCUGGAGUGAAAGGCAGGGGCCCAACCCCUGAAGUGCUCUGGAAACGGUCCGGCUGGAGUGCAGGAGG
rnacentral:rRNA from 1 species